UGCCGAGACCCUUGAACACUAUAUAAUCGAACCUUCAUCACCAUUUUAGCCACACACAAUCAUCUUUCGACACCCACACCUCUCACAACCCCCCUUCGCAACCCGGAGAUAUACGGACCUCUCGCACUCUCUUCGAAUCACUUGGAAGUCACCGGAGUUCCACCGGAGUGACCGAAGCUCACCGGAACAACCUCCGUUCCUUAUUUUGUUUCGCCGCAGCCUCGGAACUCGUAGACGACGCCGGAGCCGUACGGGAUCACCGUAGAGAUUGUUCGCUUGUUCGGUUAAUCACUUUCGUUCAUCCUCUUGGUUUCCCAAUCUUUACUCUCGUAAUUCUUUACCAAGAAACGCAAGGCAAACUAAGGUUGAUAGAUGAAGAAUUCAAGAAUCAAGUUAGGGUGGAUUAGAAACACACCUAGAAAUAAACUAUGUUGGAAUCCUGUUUUGUUUAUUUGCACGAUGUAUGACAUUUUAGAAUUUAUGAAAAUGAAUUAAAUAA